AAAUAAAAUUUUCCUAGUUAAAAGACAUUCCAAAAAUCUAGGGCACAAACACGCCCAUUUUCUCUCCUCUCUAUCAGAUUCUCACUUGCUAUCCUCUUCAACAAUGUUAGUUUUUUCUUCAAAUACAAUAAAUUGGGUGUGAAUCUAAGGCUCAUGUGCAAUGGGAAACAAAAAUAUCAGAUAGGGAAUAGGGAAUAGAAGAAAACUUUCAAAAUGUUUGAUGUAGAAUUCUGAAAUUGCCAAGAAAUUUGAAGUAGUGUACGUUCCCGGCCCUCGCUCUUCCCUUGAUGUUUGCUGCUCCGUAAGAUUCUCAAAUGAAAGCCCUCAUUUUAAUUAUUUUUUUAUUUUGUCUACACCAUUUUCUUAUCUUUGGUCAGGUAAAGUUUCUCUUUUUUUUCUCUUUAUAUAAUUAUGUUGAGAAAUUUUUGAUAUGGUAAUUUUUGUUUGACUGAUACCUUGAUUUUAGGGAUUGUAUUUCCUUGUAGCAAUGAGAGUUGGAUUAAAACUUUUCAAGUUAUAGAGAACCCCUAAUUUUCUUCAAAAGAUGAAUCGUUUUGUACUGAUGAAUGAGUCUCAAUAGAGCAGAAUGAUGUGAAUGAUUCAUAUAGGUCCCAUACUAGUUUGGAAUUAAUGAAUAGUUAAUUUCCUGUAUGAAGUUUUUCUAGUUCUAAUUUCUGUUAGCAAGUAUUUCCAAGUUGUUUCGGAAAGCAUUAUGGGAAUUAAGAAGGAUUAAGCUUUUUGUAUAACUCUAUUUAAAAUGGAUCUUUUUCAUAGUUUAGGGGUUCAUGGUUGAUUGGAAGACUUAAGAAAACUUUGCCUUAAUUAGUUUUGAGGGAUAAUCAUGUGUUGUAUAUCAGGAGAUAUAAAAGUUUGUAUACACAAAUAUCUAAUAGGCGUUGAGCAUCUUGAUAGUAAUUCUUCUCCAUUAGGUAGUUAAAAUGUUAGAUAAUUAAUCAACAAUCAGAACAAUGUCAUCAGUAGUCAGUUGCGUAGUUACCAUUCAGAUUUGUUUUGAUGUGUUGCUGUGGCAUAUUUGGUUGCUGUUGACAGAGGUGCAAAUCUUUGUUUGAGAUUUUUUUAUUACGAAUUUACCCAUUCAUGCUUCAAUGGCUUGCUGAUACAUAUUUACUCGAGUCUCUUUCAAGUUUGAUUUUGUAUAUGAAAUUAAUAUAUAUUAUCUCAUAAACAUGAAGAGAUUGAAUGCAGUUUUUUUGGAUCUUCCUUCAAAAUUUUGCAGUGGAUGUGAAGGAUUCGCACUUUCAUGUUUUUUGCUGGCUAUCUCGACGGUAUUUCUACAAUGAGUACUAGCUAUGUGAGCUGCUUUCUUUCUAAAGUUCACUGGAAAUUAAUUAGGUGGUAACUUGUGAAGAACUUAUGAUAAUGUGGAAGGAAGAAUACCUAAUUAAUGUAGAUCUAAAUAAAAAUAUGAAGAGUUACUAUAAUUUGCUUAUUUUUUAGGUGAAUGAAGGGUGUAUGCGUUACUCUAAGAAUACUGAGCAAUAUUUUGAGUCUGUAGAUCUAUAGUCUUAGUUUGCCUUUUAAAUUUCUUCCAUUCUCGUUUGUACCUAAUCUAAAUGAUACAGUUUUUAGUUAAAAACGGUAUGAUUUGAAACUUUAAAGUUUACUUUUUUUAA
rnacentral:lncRNA from 1 species